AAGACGGGGCGGGGGUGGGGGCUGUGGAGGAGCGAGCGUGCAGUAUGGAGCCUACUGGAUCUGGCGAAGUCCAGCUGAAAGGGCGUCUGCAGGCCCUCUACGCCAGCCUUGGCUCCAUUUUACAGAUGCGGAAACAAAGGCCCAGAGGAAGGGAAGGCGACUCGCCCAGAGGCACGAGCUUGGACUAGAACCCGAGAGCCAGAGCUCCCCCCACCUCUCCUCUGCAUCUCCUGAACGCUGAAGGGAGAGGCAGCUCUGCGGGGACGACCGGAAGCUGCCAGAGAAGUCGGUGGUGGGCAUCCGUGGAGAUCGUUGCAGAGCCUCCCUAUUGCCACGGCUGCCAUUGCUCUUGGGGACGACGGAUCAGCUGAACACAGCUCUGCCCCAGGUACAAUGACGACCAGGUCAGAGCCGUACCAAGAUGGCUGACAGCCAGCCAGCCUCUCCCUUGUGGGCCAUGCUGUCCCAGGGAUCUCCACGCCUUUGGGAGCGAGAGCUCUGAGUGAUGAUAGAAGGCCCCAGUUUCACCUCGAACCACCCAAUUCUCCAGAAGGAAAGGGCCCAGAAGGCAAAUUGGUCUACACCCUGGCUCUGGUUAGAAGGCCCUCAGUGCAUUCCUGUGAAUCACCAUGUCCAAAGUCCUAGGGGAUUCUAUUUAUUUUGAGAGAGAAAGAGAGAGAGAGAGAGAGAGAGACCUCAAAGGAUUCUAGAUGUGAGUGGAGGCACCAUUUCUGAUUUGGGAAUACCUAAAACUCAACAGUGGUACGAAGAAGAAGCUUCUGCUGAGGACCUGGAUGGGCCAGGGAGCUUCGACCAAGACAUGGGAAGGGGCUGAGAAGGUUUCCACCUGCAGCAUACCUGAUGGGGAAGGCCAGAGGGAGGAGAGCGAGGACGAAGACCCUCGGCCUCCCACCCACACUCCCUUUUCUUCGCUCGUGCCUUCAGAUCGGGGGCGAGUGGGGGUUGUGGUCAGGAUAAUGAUCAGGAUGUACUACUUGUCUAGAGGAACCAGAUUUUUUUAUUUUUUAUUUUUUUGAGAGCCAUGUGGAAGUCAAGAAGUGGACUUGAUCUUAAGGGAGGAACAGAGAUCCUGGGUCAACCCAAGCCUCGUAGAGAAAGCGCGUGGUGGACAUUCGCCUUGGGAGCCGGGGGAUGAGGCUGUUUGUUCUUCUCCGGAGCACUGUGGAGUGUGGCUCUUGACCUCUUUGGGCCUCAGACCUCUUCAGGAUCCGGCAGAAGCUGUCUCCCUCUGUCCUGCUUGCUGCACACAUGCACAGGACAGCGUUUACGCGGCAGCCCCUCAGAAGUCCAGCUGGGCCCUGCGUUAGGAAGGAGUCCUUCAGGAAGGGGACAGCCCUGAGCCCAGGCUCCCUGGUAUCCGGGCUAAUGAGGGAUGUUAAUGACACGGAGGGUCCAGAAUGAGGAAAAUCGAAACCAGAUUUCUAUCGCGUGAGCUAAAAAGAAGCACGACACACGUCCCGCGUUGCAAUUUUGUAAAAAAGAUACACCGGUAAAGAGAGAACGUGAAGGCCAUGUGGAGAAAUGAAAACAAUUUGCAGAAAAUGUUUGCUGAUCCCUGGUCUAGAAGCCCGGCUCUGCACCUUGCUCUCCUCGUCUGUGUAAUGUGGAAUCCGAGUUAAGUACCGCGAAAGCUCCUUCCUGGCGUGUGGUGGAGUCAUUCUGCAUUCCACGGUUCUCGCUCUGCCCUUGAGGGCCCGCGUUGCACACAUCUUUGUGUCACUAGCAGCCCCGUGAUGCCUGCACCGAGCAGGUGCUCAGGCAGCAUCAGCUGACUGGUGUUAUGGUGGCAGGAGAGGGAGCUCAGAGCCCGGCCCUGUUGCCGCUCGGCUGUGUGAGCUUAGGCAGCACUUUGAGUCUCUGAGCCUCAGCUUCCUCACUUGAAAAAUGGACAUAAUAACUUAGCACCGACUUGCUAGGGUUGCGAUGAGAAUGAAGGAGAUAAGUUCCCCGGGAAGGUGCCUUGGGAAGUCUUCGGUGCUGUCCAAAUGCUAGUAGCUACUGUCACUGUUGUUACUGGGCAUGUCACACGUACUCGGCUUUGUUGCCGAGUUCCAUUUGGUGUGCUUUAACUCGUAGGAUGGUUUCCCUAAGGAUGGUUGGGUUCUUGAGGGUCAAGGUGAUUCUAAAGUUGCCCAUCAGAAAGGUCCCAGGUGAGUGGUCUCAGUGAUGCGAUGUGUGUGGCCCUGGGGCACCCCCUGCCUGAUCACUGCUUGCCCUUUUAGUUGUGAGGGCAGAGAAGGACUGGGAAGGGAUAGUUGAUGAAGACUUGGGGAGGGUGGACCCCCCGAGUCUUGGUCCCUGACCAUUCCCAGGGCAGAGGAGGGAGCCAGACCUGCACAGUGGGCUCAGUCCUGCCCCCACAGCCACCUCUGUUCAUUGAGACAGAGGAUUGGGCUCUCCUGCCCAGGCUGCCUGCCCCCUGCCUGGCAGAUCGUCCUGCCACAGGAUCUAGCUUCAUCUCUUGAUAACCUUGACCGGCCUUUGUUUAGCAUUUUCUUUUCAAUGAGCUCUCCCACAGACAUCAUUUUGUCUUCCAUAAGAAUCCCAUGUGGUAGGGAUUCUAUCUACCCCCCUUAUAAAUGAAGAUGCUGAGGUUCAGGGAGGUUAAGAGACUUGCCCGCAGUGAGUGUCCCAGCUGGGAUGGGAUCUGCAUCCCUUAAUGCCAGGGCUCUUUCUAUCACACCAAGUUGCCUCUCUUCACCUGCCUCAGUUGUACCAAUGAACCUGUCUUCUCCUAGUCCCUCUCCCACUCCUGCGUGGCUUUGUCCCCCAGGCCUGGGAGAGUCCCCUUCACCCCCAUGCUGGUAUAGAGGCUGGCCCUCUCCUACAAUGGAAACCUAGUGUGACAGCAGGGGUUCUGGAACUCCCCUCGCCUGGUCCUGACCCCUGGGUCCGGGGUGGGGGGGGGGGUAGAGAUGGCUUAGGGAAGGUGCACCCUGGGGGUGCCAGGGAAGACAUGUCAGAUUCAGUUACCAUGACGUGGAAUAUUUAUGCUGCCAUGGGGCCCUGGGUGUCAUACUGCAUUAAGUGGGCACUCAGUGCCCACUCCCUCCAGCCACGAGAUCAGCUGCCUGCCCCUCUCUCCCUUCUUCCUGCUGGAUGCCAUAGUCGGUGGCAUUCCUGACCCCUGGGGAUACAGUCAGCGCCUCCUGGGUGCCCAGCCUUUGGGAGGCGCCACUUCCUAGGGACUGAGGGUUUGACUGAGGGAAGGAAGCUUUGACCCCUUAACACAUCAUUCUGGUGUCUCCAGGGGGGCAGGCUCCUAUUUCACGGUUUGGUGGGGAGAGUUCAGGCUCCGAGGACCCAUCAGACCCUCUCUGUAAGUUCAGCGCAGAGGCGAUGCCCAAUGAAGCCUGGAUACGAGGGGAAGAUGGAUACAAGCCGGGAUGUCUUGGGGAAGAAACUCAGACCUUGCCUCCCAAAAGGAGAAGACCCUGUUGGUCCUGUAGGGACACCCAGCAGGCCCCUGCCAUCAGUGUGGUUUCCCUUCUGCUUUGCUCAACUUCAGUUUUGUCUCUGCAACUCCCCCCCGCUUUCCUCUGCACAGCCUGAGGUUGAAGGUGGCAGGGCUGGGCAGCAGAGGGAGAGCAGACAGGGCACGUAACCACACCCCUGAGGAAGAAAGUGGCUCGGGGGGGUGGGUACAAGGCUCUGUGGGGUACCCAGAAUAAGGAGCGAAGGGGGAAGGGGUAGAGAGCGUGAGCCUGGUGCAAGGUGAGCCCCAGGGUGCAGGGCGCAUCCUCCCCUUCCCCCCAGGCCUUCCUAGCGACCCCCUCGGGGUCUGGCCUGAGCUGCCCUCUCCAGGUCCAUUACCCCAGACCUUGUCACUGUUUAUCCAGACUCGAGGCCACUCCACAGCCUUAACCGGCCGCCAUUGCAUCCACCAGGCAAAUGCUGACCAUAUCUCCUUCCUACCCUCGAUCCUGCAGUAACGUCCCAUUGCUGACAGCACCACAUCUAACUUUUGAGCCUGGCGCCUGUGGUCCAUCCAUGGUUUAGCCCUGCUUUGCCCUGCAGCCUGCUUCUCCCUAUUCCGUACUCCAAGGCUGUCCUCUGGCCCUGGGAACGCGCACAGCCCCAGACUCAGUGUGCUCGCUCCCAUCUUGAACGCUGGGACGCGCUGACACUCUGCCAGGUUGGACCGUGACCCGACUUCAUCCUCUAGAGAGGUGCUCCCCACCCUUUGUGUCUCCUCUCAAGAUCCACCUCCACCGUGAGGCUUCCCUUGGCCUCUCCUUCCACGGAAAUGCCACCCAGUGAGGCACACAUCUCCGUUGUAACAACUCUCUGCUUUUACUUUGGUUAUUCACGGAUGUUUCUCCCUGACUCUUGACAGGGAGUAACUGAGGGUUGAGACAGUGUCUGAAUCACCUUGGGGCCCUCGGCAAUCGCUCUGCGCUUGACCUACGUUGCCGAUGUUUAGUAAACGGAAAACGCACCAAAAAACGUUUGGAAAAUGCUUAGAUUAGUAAACUAAUCCAUGCCACGAGGAGUCCUCCCCGCUCCCUGUUCCUUUAGCAAUGUCCCUCACGCCUCCCCAUGGGACACGGCGAGACGGGGCUCCAAGCCCAUCGUGUUCUGUCCAAAUUUCUGGCAUGCUAAGCCGAAUCCGGCUUCAGAGCCCAACACGCUAAGCCCAUCUGAUGAGCUGCAUGUAUUGUGGCAAAUGUCAGCCUCGGCCAGCUCCAAACUAGGUCAGGCCCGGCUGCCAGCCACCAGGAGUCGGCCAGCUCUGACUGCCCAGUGGUCUGGCCACGUGGUUGCAGCUUCUGGGUAGAGAGAGCAGGCGGGGAUGCUGCUGAAAUAGGAGGGUGGUAGCUGGGGGCGCCCUUGACCUGGGGUGGAGGAGAGGAUCUGACACUGAGGCCAAGGCAGAUUGAAAUGUUUUCCUUGCUCCGCAUUCAUGAUUUAAUUAGUGAAUUCGCCAUUCAUUCCUUCACUUAUUUACUCAACAUACAUUUACUGUACCUGCCUG